UACGAGAGGCGCAAACGUUAUUCGGAAUUACUGGGCUUAAAGAGUUCGUAGGCGGCGCAGAAAGUAGGGUGUGAAAGCCCUCGGCUCAACCGAGGAAUUGCGCUCUAAACUACUGUGCUUGAGGAAGCUAGAGGUGAGCAGAACAGAUGGUGGAGCGGUGAAAUGCGUUGAUAUCAUCUGGAAUACCGGAGGCGAAGGCGGCUCACUGGGGCUUUUCUGACGCUGAGGAACGAAAGCGUGGGGAGCAAACAGG
rnacentral:rRNA from 1 species